rnacentral:rRNA from 1 species
AAUCAACGCUGGCGGCGUGCCUCAGACAUGCAAGUCGAACGAUUAAAGCUCUCUUCGGAGAGUGCAUAGAGUGGCGCACGGGUGAGUAACACGUAAGUAAUCUACCCUCGAGUGGGGAAUAACGUCCGGAAACGGGCGCUAAUACCGCAUAAUGCAGCGGCAUCAUAAGAUGACAGUUGUUAAAGAUUUAUCGCUUGAGGAGGAGCUUGCGGCAGAUUAGCUAGUUGGUAAGGUAACGGCUUACCAAGGCUACGAUCUGUAACCGGUCUUAGCGGACGGUCGGUCACACUGACACUGAAUAACGGGUCAGACUCCUACGGGAGGCAGCAGUCGGGAAUUUUGGGCAAUGGGCGAAAGCCUGACCCAGCAACGCCGCGUGAAGGAUGAAGUAUUUCGGUAUGUAAACUUCGAAAGAAUAGGAAGAAUUAAUGACGGUACUAUUUAUAAGGUCCGGCUAACUACGUGCCAGCCGCCGCCGUAAUAC